rnacentral:lncRNA from 1 species
AGGACAGCCAGGGCUACACAGAGAAACCCUGUCUCGGAAAAAACCAACCAACCAACCAACCAACCGAACAAACAAAAAUACAAGCAAGAUCAAAAGGACAAAUACUGCUCUAUCAUCUAUUAUUCUUACUGUUCUAGUGCAUCAGGAAAUAUCAAGGGACAUGGAAUUUAUGAGCCAAGAACCAUGGAUCAAAAUCAAAACGCAUAAGCCAGAACAGCAGACAGUUGAUUCCGCAGCUGAUUGUAGCUUCUUUCUCAUGUGGUAGUUGUUGCAUCCAGUGCUACAGAUUUUUCUUUUGUCAAUUUAUCCUCAGUGAGACUUCCGAGGAUCCCACGAAGCCUGGCUUGACAGUGCUUUCUGUGACAGCGAUUUUACAUCGAUCAAUCUGGGGACCCAGUGGGAAUCAGUGGCAGAAUUACCAGCGCAAGGCAAUUCCCAAUCUCCUUGGCCUGAAGCUGUUGCUCCGUAGAGGAACCAUCGCCCGACAUCCGAGAGACCAUGGACUCCACUCUCAGUACCGAGGAAACAAACAACCCGAGCAGGCCAGCAAGCCAAUAACUAAAAGCAUGGCUUCCUUUCUUUCCCAAGGAAGGCUGUAGAGACCAGCAGUCCUAGUCCCCAAGGAUCUAGAACCACACUGAAGAUAAGCUCUGGGGCAUGUCUGUGAGGAGGCCUCUAGAGUGGUUAACAAAAAUUGGAAGCCUCACCCUGACCGUGGGUGGCACCGUUCCAUUGGGAUGAAAUUCAGAACUAAACAGAACGUGAGGUGAGUACCAGCAGUCAUCUUUCUUUGCUUCUUCUAAAACUAUUCAUUUAUUUUAUUUAUAGGUGUAUGUCUGCAGAUCAAAGUGCAUACCUGGUACCUGAUAAGGCCAGAAGAAGGUGGCAGAGUCCCUGGGACUGGACUAUUGUGAGCCACCACAUGGGUGGUGAGAGUUGAAUUUAGAUCCUCUUGGGAGAUCAUCCAGUGCUCUUAACUUCUGAGCUUACUAUCUAGACACUCUCUCUGUCUUUUGGUUGGGGACUCAGUGUGACCAACCAGC